UGAGGCACACUGUGGGAAGAGAGG
rnacentral:piRNA from 1 species